rnacentral:lncRNA from 1 species
UAAUAUGAACCCUUGUAAAAUCAAAACUUAGACUUCUGUGGUGGUAAAAUUUGGGAUCUCAACAAUGGUAAUGAAUAAUUUUGUUGAUUUUGGCUUAUCAGUUGUAAAUUUUAGCAUUUUUCCCAUGUAGCCCCAUGCAUGAAAAAGGUGAUGGGUGAUAGAAACUAACUGAAAAUGCCAUAUUACAUUCCAUGGAUUUUUCAACAUGGUGUACAUUCGAAGAUUGCCCCUUGAGUUCGAGAUGCAAAUACUAAUUCUAUAGGUUUUGCUGUUUGUAGCAUUCCCUCUCAUACAUAUCGGUUGAAGACCUUGGCUCAAAAAGAACCUCCUGACUUUCAAAUUGUUCUUAAAUCCUUUAACAUUCCCCAGCCCAGCUUGGUUGUUUGAAGUACAAAGACCCAAUCCCUUCCAAGACCUUAAUAUUAUUGACCAUUCUUUACCACUGAUUAUCCCAAAGUUACUCUUGAGCCAGCUGUUCUAGUAGUUGCCUUGAUAAGUUUUCAGUAAUCUGCAGUCAAUGGUUUUCCAACAUGGACAAGCAGUAAAUGAGAUGCUCUGCUUAAUCAGCUGGUUUGACUACCAAAUAGGAAUGUUAACCAAAUGUGGUUUUACCAGUUAAUAAAUAUAUCUUGAUUCCAAUGUUAUGUAGGAACAAAAUCCUAAUGUUCCACAGCUAUGUGGAAGAGUUGGUCUGUGGAAACCUCUACUCCUGGUAUAUACUUCUUAUUUGGAAGAUAACUCCUGGUAACACCAUUUCCACUGGAGGAAUUGUAUAUGUAAUUCCUUUUACUUUGAUACAUUUCCUUUUUCUUUUAUAGCAUGUUGGCUUGAUCUGCAAGCUAAUGCCAUGUUGGUAUUGUACUCACUUCCAAAGGAGGUUCUAUGGUGGUUCUGUUGGACACUUUGUAAUUUUAUAGAGUUUUUUCCCAUCCAAUGGAAUUUGAAAACCCCUUUCUAGUUCUUAUGGUGCCUAGGAGGUUCUUUGCCUCAAUUAGCAUCAUUAAUUGAAAACUCACUGGUUAUGCCAAGCCAUCAAAAGUUUAUUCAGAAGUUAACACAAGAGGGCACUAUUGCCUAUAAAAAUAAAUGAGCAUUUAUAAUGAUUCCUUGAGUUCAUUGUUGAUGGUGGAGGUGGGUUUUAUCUAAAGCCUUACCUCCAGAGUCCUUGUUUUAAGUUUCAUGAAUUCUUUCAACUUCAUAAAACUCAAUGGCAAAUAUUCUAAAAGAUGACCCAGAUUCCCCAUUUCUGUAUCCAAAACUAAGGGGCAGUUUAGCUCUCAAAGAUUCUCCUCCUAAAAGCCUAAUUAGGCCUUUUCUUUCUUUCUUUUCUUUUUUUUUGGUGGUGUUGGGGAUUGAACUCAGUGCCUUGUAUAUGUGAGACAACACCCUACCGACUGAGCUAUAUUCCCAGCCCUAAGAGGCUAUGGCUAGGAAUUGGCUCUGGUAGCACUUCCAGGCCUUUCAAUACAAAAGCAAAGAGAAAUCGCUUUUGUUUGGCCAAUACUUCAAUUGGCUUCUUUGGAAGAGAAGCUCUUUCCUCAGGCUGGGCUAUGCAAACAUCUUCAUCCCUAGGCAGCUCCAAAAUAAACUGAAUAAUAUUUGUAAGUCAUAUGUCAUUCCCAUCUUAAGAGCAGUGGGGUUUUUUUAGUUGUGUUUUUAAAAAAAUGUAUUCAGUGUGCUUUGAAGGUUUGUAUGGUGGAAAUAGUCACAAACUGAGACUUUGAAGGAAUCAAAUCCAGAUAAGCCUGUCUCCCAAGUUCUACAUUUACAAACAUUUAUUGAAUGCUUAUUAGCUGUAAGGUACCAUGGUGGAUAGCAGUCCAAAGUCAAUUAGAAUGAUAUAGUCACCUUAGUAUAUACUCUGGAGAAGAAAUAUACUACUCUGCCUUUAACCCAGAUGUCAUAUCUGUGUAUCUUUCUCUGACAAUAAUUUGACCCUUACUUGGGCUUUAAAGAAGACUACCUUGAAUGCCUCA